rnacentral:rRNA from 1 species
UUCGCCAGGGAACAACGAGCCCCAGCUUAAAACCCAAAGGACUUGGCGGUGCUUUAGUCCCCCUAGAGGAGCCUGUUCUAGAACCGAUACUCCCCGUUCAACCUCACCCUCUCUUGUUUUUCCCGCCUAUAUACCGCCGUCGUCAGCUUACCCUGUGAAGGGCCAAUAGUAAGCAAAAUUGGCAAAGCCCAGAACGUCAGGUCGAGGUGUAGCGUACGGGAGGGGAAGAAAUGGGCUACAUUUACUGAGCCAGUAAACACGAAUGAUAAAAUGAAACCGUAUCUGAAGGAGGAUUUAGCAGUAAGAGGAGAACAGAGCGCUCCUCUGAAAUCGGCCCUGAAGCGCGCACACACCGCCCGUCACUCUCCCCAAGCCAAACCCACAAACAUAAAUAAUUUCCCACAUUUAAGCCUAAGGGGAGGCAAGUCGUAACAUGGUAAGUGUACCGGAAGGUGCACUUGGAAAAACCC